AUGGUCUGGGGAAGGGCUCCUGUGCUGUUGAACUUGCCCAGCAGGUGGGUUCAGCCUUGUAUCAGGAAGCCUGACCUUGACCUAAAGUAAAUUCCUAGGAAGUCUUUCCCAGGAUUUGAAUUUGCAGUAACAGGUGUGAGCAUUCUAGCAGCAGUUUGAUGAUCAUGUAUGAUACCACAAGCAGAA
rnacentral:snoRNA from 1 species